rnacentral:ncRNA from 1 species
CAAAAAAGUUUGGUCCUAGCUUUAAAUCAGCUAUAACUGACACUACACAUCAAGUUCCGCCCACCAGUGAAAAUGCCCUUAUGUAUCUACACAAAACAUUAAGGAGCCGAUAUCAGGCACAACUCACCUUGGCCAACAACAUCUUGCCCCGCCACACCCCAAGGGCACGCAGCAGUGACAAACAUUGAGACAUAAGCGCACAGCUUGACUCAGCCACAGUAACUUGGGUCGGUAAAUCUCGUGCCAGCCACCGCGGUUAUACGAGAGACCCUAGCUGAUACCUACGGCGUAAAGAGUGACCAAUAGGGUUAAUCAGACAUCUUUAAGGCAAAAAACUAACUCCGCCGUCAUACGCACUAGUUAUUCUACACCCCCUACCCGAAAGCAGCCUUAAGCCCAUAGACAACCUUAAUGUCACGACCGCUAGGGUACAAACUGGGAUUAGAUACCCCACUAUGCCUAGCCACAAACCUUGAAAAUUUACACAACCCUCCGCCAGGGUACUACAAGCGACAGCUCAAAACCCAAAGGACUUGGCGGUGCCUUAAACCCCCUCAGAGGAGCCUGUUCUAUAAUCGACAAUCCACGCUAAACCUCACCACCAAUUGCCAACUCAGCCUAUAUACCACCGUCCCCAGCCUACCUUAUGAAAGAAAGACAGUAGGCAAAACGACCACAUCCACACGUCAGGUCAAGGUGUAGCAUACUUGGUGGAAAGAAAUGGGCUACAUUUUCUUUUAAGAAAAAACGAAUAAGCCUAAUGAAACCAUAGCUUUGAAGGCGGAUUUGACAGUAAAAAGAACCCAUUAUAUUCUUUUUAAGUCGGCCCUAAGGCGCGCACACACCGCCCGUCACCCUCAUCAAAUAUUGGACAACAAAUUAAAUAAAACACCCUCCAGCCUAAGAAGAGGUAAGUCGUAACAUGGUAAGCGUACCGGAAGGUGCUCUUGGAACAAC